GUCCACGCCCUAAACGAUGAUAACUCGAUGUUUGCGAUACACAGUAAGCGUCCAAGCGAAAGCGUUAAGUUAUCCACCUGGGGGAGUACGGUCGCAAGAUUGAAACUCAAAGGAAUUGACGGGGGGCCCGCACAAGCGGAGGAGCAUGUGGUUUAAUUCGAUGAUACGCGAGGAACCUUACCCGGGCUUGAAAGUUAGUGAAUGAUCCAGAGACGGAUCAGUCCUUCGGGACACGAAACUAGGUGCUGCAUGGCUGUCGU
rnacentral:rRNA from 1 species